UUCCUGAUGUUUAAUCAGAAUCUCCUUUCUUGUAACUAGAAUUCAUUGGGUUGAGUCCUACUAUCUGGAGCAGGAGAAAACAAGCUUGCUCCAUUUCCCAUGUGACAGCCCUUUAGAUAUUUGAAGACUAUCAGCACAUCUCCUCUCAGUCUCCUCUUUUCCAGGCUAAACAUACCCAGCUCUCUCAA